AUGGGAAGAAGGAGACCUAAACUGAAGCCCAAAGCCCAGGGACGGCAGACAACUCCAGGCCCAAGGACAUCCGGUAACACAACAGCAGGCCCCGAUACUGGAGGGGACUGGGCAGCUUUCAAAACAGCUUUUGGGGAAAUUCCUGUGCAAGUCCACCUGGAGGAGAGUCCUGGCAUCAAAGCUUCCAAGGCAUGCCAGGGCCACUGGGUCUCUCCAACCCCAAGAGCUGGGCCACCAGCAUCUCCUCCCACCUGCCUGCCACACUUGGGCUGCUGCUCGAGGGCUGCACUGCGUCCUGCCCCACUCCACCGUGGUUACCUUGGCACUGGGCAGAGCGGUAAGCACUUAAUUGCCACAUUAAGAAAGGGGGAUGUAAGAAACAAAGGUAAUUGUGUUGGCAGCUGGGAGCUUCCUUUUCCUGGCAACGGUGGCAGCCAAACCAAGCCCUGAGAAGCGGCUGCCUCCUCUCCUGCCAAGCUGACGGACACAAACAAACCGACAUCCGAACGGCACGCGUGCGGCAUCCAAAAGCCCAGGCCUCUGCGACAGGCGGGCGGGCCGGAGGUGCACACAUCCUGGGGACACCCGGCGUGCCAGUACAGCCAUUGUGUGUGCCAGUCGGCCCCGGGUCUGUCGGGCCCUUUACUCUGCUGACUCAACUGUUGCUUCCUGUCACUUGUCCUGUAUUAGCAGUAUUUUUGGAGAGGCCCCAUUCUUCUCUAUAAUCCUCCUUUCAGUCAGUUCGGCCAACUCUAUUGUCCUGCCUGAGUCUGGGUGGCCAGAGUAUAAAAUACUCAUUGCAGAAACAUAUUACACACACACACACACACACACACACACACACACGCACGCACACACACCCUCACUCAAAGGUUUUGGAGUCCAUGUGUGAGCACACAUACACAUUCUCACACAAUUUACCUAUCUCGACACUCUGGUGAGGUUAGAGAUGGAGAAAGGAUCUCUACUCUCUUGCCUGCAAGCUAAGGCUCCAGUCCUAGAAAGCAAUCAAGUCUGCUGGGCUUGACAUGUCAAUAGAGUCCGAUCUGGUUACAAAAAGUGAUUUUCUCAUCAAAGCCCACCUCAAAGGCUUUCCAAGCCGUACCAGAGCUCACAUCCAGAUUUGACUCAAAGAGAGGCCCCUACGCUUUUCCCAUCAUUACCCUUACCUGUUUGAAAGGCAUCCCACUGAUAAUUAAAUGCACCAGUUACAAAAGGGUGGUGAGGUUAAUAGAUAGAAUACCGAGAAGCCAGCCAAGCACAACGGUCCAGUUCACACAGAGCAAGCCCGAACAAGAAGCCUUUCUACUUAUUUACCAAAAGUGCAUAAAAACUGGGCUGAACUGGUCCAAGACUGGAUGUUUGAAUAUUUACCUACCCCUUUUAACCGCUGGGAACCACUUGCAGAAUUUCUUUCCUGCACAUGCACUGUGUCACAACAGAUGUCAACGACACCAUAAAAAUCAGGGCACGGACUGCAGUGUCCAGGGAAGGAUCAGAAACCAGCAAAAAUUUACAGCCCAGACACUUAGCAAAAAUAGGACACUUCUGAAACCAGGACUCCCUACCAUGUCCAUCACCAUUCUAGAAUCUUCACUUUCCACAUUUCCUCAAGUACAUUCCAACAACUGAUAAAGGUUAAUUGUUUGCUUCUAGUUUAAAAAAAAAAAAAAUUAAAAACUGUAACCAAGCAGGGUAUCUCCCAGCAGCCUGGAUCCUAACUUUGGGGGGAUGCCUCUAGAAGCUUACCCAGGGAGAAUUCUCAGGCAUAUUUGCUUUUAUGGAUUACAAAGCUAAUUGUAUGCAUAUCCAGAGAUUAUGUAGUCUUACGCUGUCACUAAUCUUGAAAGCCUGACAUUGGCUUUCAUUGACAAGGGACCAAUUCUGGCCCUUUUACAGUACAGCCAAUGGCUGCAGAUCAAGAACACGAGAACUCCAAGUUGCAUUAGCUCUGCCUUUUUCUUAUGCUAGAGUUCCCAUGUGUGCCUCCUUCCUAAAGCUCCCUGAAGGCACCACUAUUUGGCAUAAGAUUCAAGGCAGCAUUCAGAUUGCUGGUUUUCUGAAGGGUUGCAGCCUGUAAAUUGUUGCUGCCUCUCUCCCUUACUCACCAGCCCCAAUAGUCUGUUCCAAAGCAUCACCACUUUCUACAAACAUUUUAAGUCUCUCCAGAAUUAUGGGUGUG
rnacentral:lncRNA from 1 species